AUUGAACGCUGGCGGCAUGCUUUACACAUGCAAGUCGAACGGCAGCGGGGCUUCGGUCCGCCGGCGAGUGGCGAACGGGUGAGUAAUGCAUCGGAACGUGCCCAGUCGUGGGGAUAACACAUCGAAAGAUGUGCUAAUACCGCAUACGUCCUGAGGGAGAAAGCGGGGGAUCUUCGGACCUCGCGCGAUUGGAGCGGCCGAUGUCGGAUUAGCUAGUUGGUGGGGUAAAAGCCCACCAAGGCGACGAUCCGUAGCGGGUCUGAGAGGAUGAUCCGCCACACUGGGACUGAGACACGGCCCAGACUCCUACGGGAGGCAGCAGUGGGGAAUAUUGGACAAUGGGCGAAAGCCUGAUCCAGCCAUGCCGCGUGAGUGAUGAAGGCCCUAGGGUUGUAAAGCUCUUUCACCGGGGAAGAUAAUGACGGUACCCGGAGAAGAAGCCCCGG
rnacentral:rRNA from 1 species